AUUGAACGCUGGCGGCAUGCCUUACACAUGCAAGUCGAACGGUAACAGGUCUUCGGAUGCUGACGAGUGGCGAACGGGUGAGUAAUACAUCGGAACGUGCCCGAGAGUGGGGGAUAACGAAGCGAAAGCUUUGCUAAUACCGCAUACGAUCUCAGGAUGAAAGCAGGGGACCGCAAGGCCUUGCGCUCACGGAGCGGCCGAUGGCAGAUUAGGUAGUUGGUGGGAUAAAAGCUUACCAAGCCGACGAUCUGUAGCUGGUCUGAGAGGACGACCAGCCACACUGGGACUGAGACACGGCCCAGACUCCUACGGGAGGCAGCAGUGGGGAAUUUUGGACAAUGGGCGCAAGCCUGAUCCAGCCAUGCCGCGUGCAGGAUGAAGGCCUUCGGGUUGUAAACUGCUUUUGUACGGAACGAAACGGUGAGCUCUAAUAAAGCUUGCUAAUGACGGUACCGUAAGAAUAAGCACCGGCUAACUACGUG
rnacentral:rRNA from 1 species